UUUUAUGGAUGAGCAAAGAAAGUGGAUUCUUGAGAUGGAAUCUACUUCUGAUAAAUAUGCAGUGAA
rnacentral:pre_miRNA from 1 species